CUCAGCUCCAUGGAUAAGUAUGUAAUGGUCCACAUCUAGUCUGUGCUCAAAUGCCGCCCAACUGACCUGAGGGUCUUCAGAAAGCUCUUGCUUUCAAAUGAGGAAAACUAUGGACUACAGUGGGGAACCUGAGUUGCAACGCACUACUCAUGAUUAGUGGGAGUUGGACCAGACGUAUUCUCAGUCUCUCAGCAACAGACUGACUAAUGCUGAGAACCAGAGUCUGUUUCAAACCUCAUCAUGCUCCAGGGAUCCACAAGAUGUUUGAGCAUGGGCACUCCUUUUCCAUGCACAGAAGUAGCUCUACAUUAAACAGCCUUCUGAAAAAGAGACCCUGGGUGAUUCCCUGCAUCAUUGUACGGGAGUCUGUGGGAGAUCGAGCGUUUCCAGCUUGGAGACACGAGGGUUGCUGUUAUGCGGCGAGGAUCACUGGAGCAGUGCUGCUGAAGGAUCGCACCACGAAAACCUGAGAGCCCUUACCUGUGAAAGAGGACAGACAAUCUCUUCUCCAAUCUGCCCCUUUCCAUGCUGUAGAUCCAUACGUCUGCCAUGGUAGCCGCCUGGCUAUAGGGAUUGUCUGCAGCCCUGCCACCAUGCUGGAAGAUCCUUGAGUAAGGCAGUCAUCGAGGGCGUGGGCUGGAUAGCAAAUAGGUUGCAUGGUAUGGCUGGACAGCAAAGAGGUUGUACAGUAUUAGAGGCAGAGCAGUGGUAGGGAUUUUCGAGUGGUGCCUGUUUGCAGUACAGCUGGUGCUAGUCAGCCUGGAUAUGUUCAUCACUUUCCAGGGCAGAUGUGAAAUCCUCCCAUCAAGUGCCUACUUCUUAGUGAGCUGUGAAUUACAGGUCUGAACAAAAGUCUUGCGAAGCCAGCAUUUGUGUGAAAGGUAAAAUAUGAAUAUCAGAGGGAAUUAUUUCCAGUGUGUCAAAAUUAGCUGAUUCCCAGUGAUUAUUUCUCAAAACAGCCUAGACCUUUUUCCUGUCAGUGUGGAUACCCCUGAACUUUUCAAUUGGUGGUGAUGUGGCUUGCCUCAGUAUAUCCUAGCAGCAAUGAGAGGGGUGUAGUUUAAGUAACAAAUCUUUUGACGUUCAGAUAUCCAUCCAGGCCACAAGGCCUUCCCAGACACUGUACAGACUCAUUAAAUAAAGAUGCCCUCUGUCCAGGAAAGUUCAUGAGGAGGCAGUAAUACCCAAAUAGGUCUCAAUUCCAUCUGAGUUGAUUAAAAAAGAAUAGGUCUACUGUGCUGAGCACUGACACACUAAUUUUUCUCUUUUCUACCUUAGCCUUGCCGUUCUCCCUCUUAGAAGCCCCGAAAGCUGUUUAAAACAAAAAUCUCAGCUGUCUGUGAAGUGCAGUACGUAAAGGGAGUGCAAAAACAACCAGAUUUGCUUGUAAAUAAAACACCAAUCCAACAAUUCAGUAGAUGUUGCAUUUUUCUGUAGAGGGGUCUGCAGUGUGUUUGGACAGCUGCUGCUAUUAAAACUUUUGCCAAGUAAGUUAAAAAAAAUCACCUUCUAACUGCCAUAUUCACAAAUAUAUAAGGAGAUUUACAAGCACUUGAAUGCCAGACUGAAACCCUCUUGGAGCUACCUUUAGAGUUUCUUUCAAAAUGCUUUAAACCUCAGGGUAGUAUUUGCAGUCACUCUACUUUACCUUUCCUGUUCAUUUUUACCUUAUGUAUUUACACUGAAGUGAUAUAGGUAAUAAAUAUAUUAGUAAUACAUGGUCUAUGUUUGUAUGUGUAUAUAUCCAAGAAUUUUGUUUCAGAGUUUUU